UAUAAAGAUGAAAAAUGUUGCGUUUACUUCACACAAGUGCAGCCAUUUUCCCCUGUUGCCAUGGGAACGUUAUGAAGUGACGUAACUAUACAACA